CCAGGUUCCAAAAUCGCAGUCUAAUGGUGAUCUGAACCUAAUGCUUUAAAAUUGCGUGCUAUAGGGUCCAAAUUAACUGGUCGCUUCCAGGAAAGCUCUUUGCAACUACUCGAUGCAUGCCGGUGGUAUAAUGUCUAGGGUCAAGUGGGGAUGGCUAAUUGGUAAGCCCACAUAUAAAAGCCAGAGGAGAGGAGCACCUUGCAGAGCCAUCAAUCUGGAGG
rnacentral:lncRNA from 1 species